rnacentral:rRNA from 1 species
AAUAGCCUAACGGCUGAACCAGCAACUUGGAGGAAUGUAUAGCGAAAGCUAAUUGUAUCAAUAUAUAGUUGAUGCAAUAUCGACUAAGUUGAAUAAAAUUCUAGGUAGAAUUAUGAUAAUGACAUUUUCUGCCUAUGUGUCUUGACCAAAUUACGUGCCAGCAGUCGCGGUAAUACGUAGAAGACUAGUGUUAUUCAUCUUUAAUUGGUUUAAAGGGUACCUAGACGGUAAAUCAAGCCUUCAAGGGGACUAAUUUACUAGAGUUACUUAUGAGGGGGCAGUAAAGUACUGCUGGUGUAGAGAUGAAAUUCUGUCAUACCUAAUUCAUAUAACGUCUUCUAGACGAAAGAACCUACGGCACAGGUAUAGGCGAAAGCAUCUCCUUAUGUGAUAACUGACGUUGAGGGACGAAGGCUUUGUGUAGCGAACAGGAUUAGAUACCCAAGUAGUCAAAGCAGAAAAUGAUGAAUGUCAUAGAUUAGACAUAUAGUUUAUUCUAUAAAUGAAAGUGUAAGCAUUCCACCUCAAGAGUAAUUUGGCAACAUUGGAACUGAAAUCAUUAGACCGUUUCUGAAACCAGUAGUGAAGUAUGUUGUUUAAUUUGAUAGUCCUCAAAAAACCUUACCACAAUUUGAAUAUUUAUGUUUUGAUUAGUUCUGUUUUUAAAACUUGUUUCAUAAAAACAAGAAAAUAUAUAAAACUAAGUUUUUUUGUUAAUAAUAAACGGGCUGGAACUAAUUAAGACAUAUCUACAAGCGUUGCACGGCUGUCUUCAGUUAAUGUCGUGAGAUUUUGGUUAGUUCCAUUAAAUUAACGUAAACCCUUACUUUAUUUUUAGAUAAAGUAGUUCCCCAAUAUAUUGGAUAAGAUAACAGGGACUAAGACAAGUCAUCAUGGCCUAAACCUA